UCCUGUAGAACAGUCGUCCUUGUAUCUGGCCUUUGCCAGCUCAGAGAAGACAGCAAUUAAGCCCAAGUGAAAGAAUGGGCUUAUGGACACCUGGAUUUCUGUCUAACAUAGCAUCAAGAUGCAGCUGGAACAUAUAACCAGACCUAAAUGUUCCAGUCCUGUCUUACUAAAUUUGAUGCCUUGGUGACCUGGAUCAACAAGAAGCUUUAAGAUGGCUGCAUGGAUAUUCUUCUUGCAAAUCUUUUCUAAUGAUUUUAGUCAGAACCUGGAAUGUUACCUCCAGAUUAUGAAAACUGGCAAAAUUCAUAAUCUGGCAAAAGGGAAAACGUUCACAGAACUCUUGGCAAGAAACCAAAUCAAACUAUUCUUUUUAAUUACAGGUGAGUAAUAACACUCUUACAUUUCAUACAAAUAACGUCAGCACGCUCUUGGUCUGUGAUUGAUGGGAUGUUUUAAGUGGAGUGCUUUAAUUCAGCACAGCUGGAUGCCUCUUGUUGGGUUCCACUCCUAUACUCAGAAAUUUUUAUUUUUAGAGGUACUGGCAAUAACUUCCACUAUGAAGGCUGG
rnacentral:lncRNA from 1 species